rnacentral:rRNA from 1 species
GACGAACGCUGGCGGCGUGCUUAACACAUGCAAGUCGAACGGAAAGGCCCUGCUUUUGUGGGGUGCUCGAGUGGCGAACGGGUGAGUAACACGUGAGUAACCUGCCCUUGACUUUGGGAUAACUUCAGGAAACUGGGGCUAAUACCGGAUAGGAGCUCCUGCUGCAUGGGGGGGGUUGGAAAUUUUCGGCGGUUGGGGAUGGACUCGCGGGUUAUCAGCUGGUUGGUGGGGUAGUGGCUUACCAAGGCUUUGACGGGUAGCCGGCCUGGGAGGGUGACCGGCCACCUUGGGACUGAGAGACGGCCCAGACUCCUACGGGAGGCAGUAGGGGGGAGUAUUGCACAAUGGGCGGAAGCCUGAUGCAGAGACGCCGCGUGCGGGAUGACGGCCUUCGGGUUGUAAACCGCUUUAGCCUGUGACGAAGCGUGAGUGACGGUAAUGGGUAAAGAAGCACCGGCUAACUACGUG